GACGAACGCUGGCGGCGUGCUUAACACAUGCAAGUCGAACGGAAAGGCCCUGCUUUUGUGGGGUGCUCGAGUGGCGAACGGGUGAGUAACACGUGAGUAACCUUCCCUUUACUUUGGUAUAACUUCAGGAAACUGGGGCUAAUACCGGAUAGGAGCUCCUGCUGCAUGGUGGGGGUUGGAAAGUUUCGGCGGUUGGGGAUGGACUCGCGGCUUAUCAGCUUGUUGGUGGGGUAGUGGCUUACCAAGGCUUUGACGGGUAGCCGGCCUGAGAGGGUGACCGGCCACAUUGGGACUGAGAUACGGCCCAGACUCCUACGGGAGGCAGCAGUGGGGAAUAUUGCACAAUGGGCGGAAGCAUGAUGCAGCAACGCCGCGUGCGGGAUGACGGCCUUCGGGUUGUAAACCGCUUUCGCCUGUGACGAAGCGUGAGUGACGGUAAUGGGUAAAGAAGCACCGGCUAACUACGUG
rnacentral:rRNA from 1 species